rnacentral:rRNA from 1 species
UGGUCUCAGUUCGGACUGUAGGCUGCAACUCGCCUACACGAAGUUGGAAUUGCUAGUAAUCGUGGAUCAGCAUGCCACGGUGAAUACGUUCCCGGGUCUUGUACACACCGCCCGUCACACCAUGGGAGCUGGUAACACCCGAAGUCAGUAGUCUAACCGCAAGGAGGACGCUGCCGAAGGUGGGAUUAGCGACUGGGGUGAAGUCGUAACAAGGUAUC